AUGUUUUAUUUCUACAUCAGUUUCUGUGUUGUUUCUACAGAUUUAACUCUGCCAGUCAACAUAUACUUUUAGUUGGAUCUACCUCUCCAUUCUAUCACUAUAAACCCGCAAAUAUACGCCCUCUGGUGCUAGAAAAUGUGGAGAGACAUCGUGCUCAAUACUAUGUUUAGGUUUGCCGACGUUGAAGUUCCCAACUUUUCGAUCUAGUCCACAGUCCUGACUAUCUUAUUUGUAAUAUAUAUUUAUGGAGGAAGUCAACUACUUAAUACGAACUUCCAGUUUGUAUGAUGAUGAUAAUCUUGUUAAAUCUCUGCUCGUUUCUUUAUUACAUACUUUAUAAGAAAACACCAUUCAGAAUUAUGUUACUACAUUAGGGAUAUUUUAAUAUUUAUUUGGUCUUUUCCACAAUCUCUAUGGUUGUUAAUAUAUAGAGUUCGUUUGAGCACAUAGCUCACCUGGUAUCUGUAAAACAUCUGGUAUAGUCGCGUGUUUGUGUUUUCAUCACUUUCCAACCAAGCCUCACCCCUGCUUGUAUUAUUAACAACCAAAUCUGUACUUUUUUAUUUACUCUUAACAAUAUUGCUUUAUAUGAAAUAAUUUUCUUUUCUUUAGUUUCCUUAUCCUUGUUUAAAAUCUCAUUUUGGAAAUACUUAUACAAACAGUAGUUUAGGAACACGUGAUUUUCAAGGUUUUGUUACCUUACUUGGAUUGUAGCAGCACGAUUUAAUAAGGGUUUUACAUUGCUUAGAUUGUAACAGCACAUGACUUGUGGUUUUGUUACGUUAUUUAGAUUGUAACAGCACAUGACUUGUGGUUUUGUUAACGUUAUUUAGAUUGUAGCAGCACAUGAUUUAUCGAGGUUUUGCUGCUUUAUUAAGAUUGUAGCAGCACGAUUUAUCGAGGUUUUGUUACGUUAUUUAGAUUGUAGCAGCACAUGAUUUAUCGAGGUUUUGUUAAGUUAUUUAGAUUGUAGCAGCAUAAGACUUGUCGUGGUUUUGUUACGUUAUUUAGAAUGUAGCAGCACAUGAUUUAUCGAGGUUUUGUUACGUUAUUUAGAUUGUAGCAGCAUAUGACUUGUCGUGGUUUUGUUACGUUAUUUAGAAUGUAGCAGCACAUGAUUUAUCGAGGUUUUGUUACGUUACUUCGAUUGUAGCAACACAUGACUUGUCAUGGUUUUGUUACAUUAUUUAGAAUGUAGCAGCACAUGACUUGUCGUGGUUUUGUUACAUUAUUUAGAAUGUAGCAGCACAUGACUUGUCGUUUUGUUACGUUAUUUAGAUUGUAGCAGCAUAUGACUUGUCGUGGUUUUGUUACGUUAUUUAGAAUGUAGCAGCACAUGACUUGUCGUGGUUUUGUUACGUUACUUCGAUUGUAGCAACACAUGACUUGUCGUGGUUUUGUUACAUUAUUUAGAAUGUAGCAGCACAUGACUUGUCGUGGUUUUGUUACAUUAUUUAGAAUGUAGCAGCACAUGACUUGUCGUAGUUUUGUUACGUUAUUUAGAAUGUAGUAGCAAGCAGAAAUCAAGUUUGUAGACAUCACAUAUGUUGGACGUACAAAAAAUGUGUAGAUUUAUAGAUGUAAUAGAAUGUCUAGCUGGAGGAGCAGUGAAAGUAACAUCACGGGUAUUCGUAUAUAUACAUCACACACCACCAGCUAAGUCUUACAUCUCAAGACUUCUUGUUUUAUGACCACAUGUGGCAUCACCCAUCAAAUUGUGUAUAAUAUCAACCAGCUGGCCUGGUGAGUGUUAAUAUUGAGCAACAGACAGCCUCUAUAACUGAAAUGUUAAUCAGCACUUCAAACCUUUAAUGGACUGAUAAAGAAUGGUGUGGUUAGACUAUUACUAGGUCUUGUAGAAUAACUUCACUAAAUGUACAUUUCCACAAAUCUGAUUGAUGUUUAGUUUUAUUUAUCGUUAUGUUUAUUGUAUUCUGUCAUAUCACCGGCAAUUGAUUAUUUAGGACCAAAACAAAUAUUUUCAAAUGUUGCUAUUAGACGUGCCGAAUAAACAGUGUGAACUUAUUUUAAUGAUUAUACAGGAAUAUUUUUACAAUUAUCAACUAUUUUGUAGUUUCUGAAAGUUGUGAAAUAAAUUUUCCAACAGAAAA
rnacentral:lncRNA from 1 species